UUUCCGUAGGUGAACCUGCGGAAGGAUCAUUAUUGUAUAACCGAGGUGCGAGGGCUGUCGCUGACCCGAAAGGUCGUGCACGCCCGAGUGCCCUCACACACAUCCAUCUCACCCCUAUGUGCACCACCGCGUGGGUCCCCCUUUGGCUUGUUCGGAGGGGGGCUUACGUUUUCACACAAACUUUGUAUGCAGUGUAGAAUGUAUUUUUUGUUUUUGCGAUCACGCAAUCAAUACAACUUUCAACAACGGAUCUCUUGGCUCUCGCAUCGAUGAAGAACGAAGC
rnacentral:misc_RNA from 1 species